GGCACUGUGUCCUCAGUCCCUUAUAAAUUGAAAGGAAAGGACACAUUCAAAGACCCUGGGACCAGCGGGGCCUGAACUUCUCCUUCUUCUGGCCCCCAAGCUCUCCAGGAGCAUGAGCAUUGCACUCAUUUUUAAAUCACAGCUGCCAUGCUUCUCAGCUUCGUGAAUGCUGGUGAAUAAUUUCACCUCUCUGGGUCUCAGUUUCUUCGUCUAUGAGAUGGCAAUGCAAAUUUAAGUUCACGAUCCCUUUUGCACAAUUCUGAAAUCCAGAAAGUCCUGGAAUCGGAAAAGUAUUUUUUAUGAGUUUGGAGCAAAGGCUCUUCUGGCAGCAAAAUCUUUGCUGAAUUGACACAUGACUAUUUAAGUCACCAUUUAUCAUACUUAGUUUCAAUAUUCACAAUGUUAGAGGCAGAAAUAUUCAUGUGAUUAUGCUGAAAUGUUAUGUAGUUUACAGUAUAUAUACUUUGCUAUUUUUCUAGGGCCAUCAACCUCUGAAUCUCAACAACCAACAGGCCCCAGGAGCUUCAGGUGAGGGACAGUGGCCCUGCUCCUGCAUGAUGUGCUUCUGGGGUUUGAAGAAGGUAGAGUCUCUGGCUCGUAGUAAGAACUCAACAAGUGGUAGCCCUUAUUUACAAGCUUGAUGAAGUAAAUAGCCAUGUUGAUGAAUCCCCAUGUGUCAAAGAACUGUGGGCGGCCUCUGGGAACUGCAAACAGCUCCAGCCAACAACCAUCAAAAAACUGAGUGAACUCGGAAGCAGUGUCUUCCACAUUUGAGCCUCCAGAACAAAUCCUUAAGACUUGAAUACUUAUUUCUGGAGAAGACUUUGUCUUGUUUCAAUACGGGCUGUCGUGUGUUGUUUGUUUGCUUUACCGCCAAGUAAAAGGACUGUGUGUCUCCACAAACUCUCUCUGGUUCAAGGACUCUCCCCUGCCUCUGUUCUUUUUGGAUUGAGGAAGAAGAGUCUUUUGAAGUUUACUCUGUCACAUUGCCAGAAAUUGCCUCCACUGCCUUUACAGCUGAGAAGUUCCCACAGAAAGAAAAACAAAUGAUGAUGAUAAGAAGAGGAAAAAGACCCAGUGUAAUGACCCUUGACUGAACUCCUAAUGUGUACCAGGUACCAUGCACAUCGGUAUAUGUACCAUCUCAUUUAAUCCUCACCACAACCACAUGGAAAGACUGAGGCUUGGAGAAGCUAAGUAAUUUCCAAGUGCACACAGAUAGUCAAAAGUCCAGCCUGUAAUUUGACCUGGGACUCUGACCUCAAAAUCCCUGACAUUAACCAUACAUUAGACUGAGCCGUAAUUUGUCUCUGUAUGGUGCCAGCUGCACUAUAUUCUGUGAGCAAAUGACUCUACUUGGGGUGAAAAUGCUGUUGCAACUUCAGCUUGUCUUAUGUAUUAGUUUUUUUAUUGUUGUGUAACAAAUGUCCUCACAUUUUAGCAGCUUGAAACAACAAUUGUUUAGUAAAUCACAAUUCUUGUGUAGAAGUCUGACCCAACUUAGCUAGGUGCUCUGCUCAGGGUAUCACAGAGCUGAAAUCAAAGUGUUGGCUGGACUGCAAUUCUUUUUGGAGGCUCAGGAAGAAUCACUUCGGAGGUCAUUCAGGUUAAUGAAAGGAUUAUUUUGGUUGUAGGACUGAUGUCUCCAUUUCCUUGCUGGUUGUCAACUGGGGGCUGCUUUCAGUGUCUAGAGGCUGCCCACACCCCUUGCCACAUGGUCCCCUCCAUCUUCAAAGACAGUAAUCACACUUCAAAUUCUUCUCAUGAUUUGAAUCUCUGACUUCCCCUUUUUCUGACCUCUAGACUCAUAUUCAAAAGCCUCAUGUGAUGAAGUCAGGGCCACUCAUAUAAUCUCCCUGUCUUAAGGUCAGCUGAUUUUGGAGCUUAAUUACAUCUGCAAAAUUACUUUUACCAUACAAUGAACCAAAACUGUGGGAGUGAUAUCCCAUUAUAUUCAUAGACCUAAGGAUUGUACACGGCAUGUAUACCAAGGGGUGAGAAUAUUGAAGGACAUCUUAGAAUUCUGCCUGUCACACCAGCUCCCUACCUUCCCAUUCUCUUCACUCUGCAUCAAAUAUCAAUCCAUUCUCCUAUAAUUACUUUGUCUCUUUCUUGGAAAAUUACCAGCAGACCCUUGUGAAUCCUACCCACACCCAAAGAAGAUUGGCCAUUGUCCUUGGGCCCUCCAUUCUAUCCUAUUUUUCAGAGCUCUGAAGUUAGGCAGAGGGGAAGAGGAGAGCCAAAGCAGAAAGUUUUACAUGCCAUGGGUAUUGGUUUCCUCUGACUAACGUAAAAAAUUAACGCAAACUUAGUAGCUUAAAACAACACAAAUCUUUUACCUUAUAGUUCUUUAGGUCAGAAGUUUGACAUAAGUUUCACUAGGUUAAAUGCAAGGUGUCUACAGGGCUGCAUGUCUUUCUGGAAGCUUAAGGUGAGCAUCAGUCUCCUUCCCUUUCCUAGCUUCUAGUUGCUGCCCAUACUCCUGGUUCCAUGGCCCCAUUUCCUCCAUCUUCAAAGCUAGCAGUGUUGCAUCUCUCUAAGCCUUCUUCCACCAUGAGUUUCUCUUUCUCUCUAUCCAUAGCCAGAAAAGGUUCUCCACUUUUAUGGACACCUUUGCUUAGAUUGCGUAAUCCAGUAUAAUCUCAAGGUCUGUAUCUGUGAUCACAUCUGCAAAGCCCCUUUUGCCAUGUAAGGUAAUAUACAUUCACAAGUCCCACUGUUAUAGUGUGAAUGUCUUUGGGGGGGCAUUAUUCUUCAUUGUGCACAUCAUGUUAAGAAGUUUGGGCUUUCUUCUGAAAGUGAGUAGAAUCAUUGAAGGAGUUGUGGCACAAAGUGGCUAAAACAGAUUUGCAUUUUAGAAAGAUUCCUCAGUUCUAAGUUUCAAAAUAAUGAUAGGGGAGUGGUCGUAUUAACUAAUAGUAACUAAUUUAGUGUGGAGUACUAACCACAUUCUUGGCACUGUUUGAAGUAUUUGCCACCCUUAAGAUAAUUAACCCUUAUAAGUUAGAUACUAGUAUAAUGGCAAUAGCCACCUUCCAUGGAUGAUAAAUAUAUGCACAAAGAAUUUAAAUAACCUUGCCCAAGAUUUUGCAUCUAGCAAGCACCAGAGCCAGGAUUCAGUCCAAGCAGUCUGGCUUGCAGAGUCAAUGUUCUAACUGCUAUACAGAGUCACCCUUAACGAUGCAAAAUGUACCUCCUCCCAGACUUUCAAAGAGGAUGAAGGAUGAUCAGGCAUAGUGUCAGGGAACAAUUUACAGGUGCAGUGGGACAUGCAAAGAGGCCAUAAAAAGGGGGGAGGACUUGAAAAAGUAGAGAGGAAUGGACAAAGACUUUCACAAAUACCUUAACUCUAGUCAAGUCUAUGUCCUUCCUUUUCUAUAAAAUAGGAUCCCUGGCCCUCUAAUUGCUUGAUUCUUUAAAUGCUUGAAAGAAUGAGUCAGGGGCAGUACAGAACAAUAUGUGCUGAUGGGUGUAGACGCCCCCUUUGAUUGCUGCUUUGCGACUUUCACAAAUAACUAACCACCUGAGAACCUGUCUCCUUCAUACUGAAUUCCAUUUUGAUUUUUUCAUCCUUCUUGAUUCUCAUCUCUUUGUACCAAAAUUGUAUUUUUCCAAAGAUGUUUUCAAAGGUGUUUUUGUUCUCAUUUAAUAGGCUCAGUUUUCAAUGUUUGGGCUGAAGUUGAGGAGGUGGUUUAUGAAAAGUGAAUACAUUUGAACAGCGAAGUUUCCUGUGAACAGAAAUACAGUAUUGUUCCACUGUGAAGUUCCUAAGAGCCAGUCUCUGCUAUUUUAUUUCUAGAUUUCCUUCCAACUUCUUCUUUAAAACUUUUCAAAACGACAUCAAACAGCCUUCCUCUUGCUAUGAAAUAGAGAAAGCCCUUUCAUCUGUAGGUGGGCUGGUGUGGUGCAAGGAUUAUCAAGCAGGGACAACCGCGACUAUUGUUCUUGUAAAAUAUAUUAACUUAAAUAAAAAGAAAACUUUUCUUUCUAGCUACUCACUGUGAAAUAUCUGCUCUAUAUGUAUAAUUCUUAAAAUUAGAGAUGGUCACAGAAAGAGACAGCCUGUCAAAAACCAGAUAGUGAUCAAUCCAUGGGCACGUCCUCCAAGAAAGGGACACUCAUGGCAAAAGAAAGAGAAAGGAAAACAACAUUUAUUGAUAAUCCAUUUUUUGUUAAGCAAAGCACAUGUUACUUACUUUAUGUACCUUAAAUCAUUUGGGUUCUUGAAAGUUCUCUGAGCAAACUAUUCAUAACCCCAUUCUACAGAUAAAGAAACUGAGAUAUAGAGAAGCUGGGCAACAUAUUCAAAAUUUUUGUGAGCGAUGUAACCAGUGUUUGAAUUCAGAUAUUUCUUGCCAUAAAAAAAUCACAUCACUUACCUUGUCAAGUUAGUAUCAUUCUGAGAAAUGAUUAUUUAUGAAGGUUUCUGCUUCUUAUAAGAGAUAUAAGAAAACCAUAAAUUUAGCAAAUGUACAGAGAGAAAAAUAUCAUUUAUUGAAUAUCAAACAUGCAUUGAAUAUCUAACAUACCCCUGGACCUAUACGUUAAAGCAUGACUUAGUAAUAGGAUACAUUAAUUCCUCCCAUCGAAAAGCUUUUAUUAUAGGUUGAAAAGUAGCAUUUCAUAUCUAUAGUAGAGUUAAUAAGUAAGAUAAUAUUCAAUUGAUGCUCAAUUUUAUAGCACAGGCAAUAAUAUUCUCUAGUAUUUCUUCAGCACUUUUAAAUUUGCAAAUGUUUCCUAAUGCAUUAUCUCACUGAAUUUCCCAUCCUUCCAUGAGACAGGCAUUGCUUGACCUCCUGUACUUUCAUUAAACUGAGGCUCAGAAGUAGUUCAGCAGCAUGAGUAAGAUAAAGCAGUUAAUAAAUUGUGAAGCCAGACCUAGAACAUUGUUCUUCAGCUACAGAGACAUAAUUCUUCAGGCCAUUUAGUCUGACAUCGUAAUUAAUCUAUGAAUAGAAACAAUGAAGUCUUAUAGAUACAAAGAGAAGACAGUCUCUGUAGGACAGUCUAGGACAAUUUGCCCACUCAGAACUUUUUCAUCCUCUACCCUUACAAAAAAGAUUUUCUGUAUCUUUCUUCAUUUCCUAGUCUGAUCCCUGUGACUCCAACUUCAAAUUCACACUUGAUCCUUUCAGAAUUUCAGUUACUUUUCUUCUAGAGUAUUCAGUUUGGUUUAUACCUCUCCAUAUCAAUAUCCCCUGUGGGGGUUAGAAUUUUCUUCUAUGGACAUGGACCCUGAGAAUCCAAACUCCACAUAUCUAGGCUAGUGGUGGUUUCCACUGCAGCAAAAACUAGAACCAAAAGCAGUUAUUAAAGGUAAAAAUUCUAAGGGGAGGCUUGGAGCAGAGGAGAAACUAGAGCUGGAAGAAGCUGUACAACAUUAACCUUUUAAGUUAAAGACUGAGAGUUUAAGGCACUCCUUAAAGAUAUGAUUUUGAAAAAAUGGAUAGGAUACAGUGAAAUAGGAGGAAGGACAUGGGAGAGAAAAGAAGAGACAGUACUAUGAAAGGAAUGAAGGUGGAUUGAGCACAGUGUGCAUGAGGGAAGGGAGGGAGAGAGAAAACAUUGUUCGUUAAAUUCCCAAGUUGUCACACUGCAAGCUUAUCUUCAGUUUUUCUUCAGCUCUUGAAUUAUUUGUAAGUACAUACGUGUGCACACACAUACACACAUACUCACAGAUAUAUCUGUUACUAAAAGUUGACAGAAUUUUCACUUUCUAGUUAGAAACACACGGGCACAAAGGGCUGUGGAGGGUUUUGUAAAGAUGUAAUCAUUCCAAAUGUACAAUUUUGUCAGUUUGCUUUUAUAACCAAAGCACUGCGUGAAUUUCAAAGCAAAUACAAUCUUUGUUAUGUUAGAAAGCUCUGAAGUCACUGUCUUAAAAAAUAAAGUGGAAACAGCUUCAGGAAAUAGUUGCAAAUCUCAAAGGCCCAAUGCUUUGAUGUAUGACUCGUAUUAGUAAUGUCCUAAAGAAGUCAUACCUAAUUGAUGCCAUUCAUUAUCUGUUUGACACUUUAUGAUACAUAAAGAUAAAAGGGGAAAAGGAAGAGGUCUAGAAGUUGCUGACCACCUACUAUGUGACAAGAAUCAAGCAUGCUUCUCGAUAUUUUCCAUGUCAUUACCUUCCCACAACAGUUCUACAUUGUCAAUAUUAUGUAUAGUUACAAGAUGAAAAAAAUGGGAAACAUGGUAAAUAAUUUUGCCAAGGUCCAACAUCUAAUAAUUUUUAGAACUAGGCUAUAAGUUCAAGUCUGUUAGUUGCCCAAGACCGUAAUCUUCACACAUUUUUAGUUGUGUGAUAUGUUUAGCCAAUGUAUAUAUUAGUUUCAGCUUGGAUGAUGCACAUAUAUGCCCAGAGAAUGGGUAUAACAUGACCUCACUUGAUUUAUUCAUUUGUUCCAUUGAUGUAUUCAUGAACUUAGUUAGACUUCAGUGCUAGUUUUGUUUAAGUUCAGAGAUGAAAUGCACUGUAUAUAUACUUAAUAAGACUUGUCAUUUAAAUAUCAUAAAAUUAAUUGCAGAAUUUGUCUAUGCAAACAACAGCAAUAAAAAUACUUUGCUCCUACUGUACUAGUCAGAAUAGGCUAACGUAUUUCAUGAAAAAGUCCAGAGGGCUGACCCUGUGGCUGAGAGGUUAAGUUCACGCACUCUACUUUGGUGGUCCGGGGUUCCACUGGUUCAG